rnacentral:misc_RNA from 1 species
GGAAUACCCUUAAAAAAGGAAGGGUAUAUAAGGAUUUGGAUGCCCCAGAUUCAAGGGCUCUCAACCAAUGAAAUUGAAAUCCAGCAGAAAGAACAUGAAUAGACAGGCUUGACUAGCCAGCACCAGUAUUUGCAAUGCAUUGAUCCACGAUACCAAAAUUUCCCAAAUUCUGAUAAUUUUCAACAUUAAAAAGAUAAUCUUUAUGGCUAUUUUUAAGCAGGCCAAGCCAAUUGUGUUCCUGAUGUCACAUUAACCAAAAUUUAAAAACUGAGUCUUCUGUGCGCCCUCAUCUCCAUGACUCCAUUUGCUACGCAAUAUCAAUAGAAAGCUGUUCCUGUCCAAGAGGUAUAAAACCAAAACAGAAAGUACCACCAAGCCGUCUCUCCAAGAAAUUAGAAAGGAGAUUCCUUGUAACCCCUGAGAGCAUGGAAAAACAGCCAUAAAGCAAGAAAACCACCGCAUCCUCACCACCACCAAUCUGCAGAGAUUGGAAUCCCCUGGCCCUAACCCCCUAAAUCAAGAAAUUACAAGCUUAAAAGAAACAAGAGAAUCCUCACAUUUUCACUCAAGAGUGUCCCAGAUGAAGCAAAUGUCCCAUCUUGACCACACUCCAUCAACGCCAGGCAAAUUCAAGAUCGACAAAUCUCCAUAUCCAUACAACCGAGUCAGAUGGCCCUCAUCUUUAGCUAAACUCACAUUCUGGUCUUUUGUCUUUAUUGGCUUGAUUUUCCUCUUCUUUUAUCGACCCCCGUCAUCAUCCACCAAUCCUCUACGGUACGAUCCAUCACGCCGCUCUCUUCGGACUUCCUGGGGCGGCUCCACUUGGGAAAAAUGGGUACGAGCCUCCGCCAGAAGUCGGUCUCGGAAGGGGUUCUCUGUACUCGUCACUGGCGCUUGGUUCGUCGGGACACAAGUCUCUGCAACUUUGAAACGCCGCGGCGAUGGUGUUCUGGGGCUUGACAAUUUCAACGAUUACUAUGAUCCAUCUCCGAAACGUGCUCGCCAAGCUCUUCUUGAACGCGCCGGGGUUUAUAUUGUGGAAGGGGACAUAAAUGAUGUGUCUUUGUUAAAGAGGCUGUUUAAAGUUGUGCAAUUCACACGUGAUGCAUUUGGCUGCUCAAGCUGGGGCCAGGUAUGCAAUGGAAAACCCUAGCUCUUAUGUGCAUAGCAAUAUUGCUGAUCUUGUAAGUUUGUUAGAAGUUUGUAAAGAUGCAAAUCCACAACCUGCAAUUGUAUGGGCGUCUUCUAGUUCUGUUUAUGGGCUUAAUACAAAAGUACCCUUCUCCGAGCAAGAUAGAACUGAUCAACCUGCUAGUUUGUAUGCUGCUACUAAAAAGGCUGGAGAGGAAAUUGCACAUACGUAUGAUCAUAUUUACGGUCUUUCCCUUACUGGGUUGCGAUUUUCACUGUUUAUGGGCCAUGGGGUAGACCGGAUAUGGCUUACUUCUUUUUCACUAGAGAUAUUUUGAAAGGAAAGAGUAUACCCAUUUUUGAAGCGGCCAAUCACGGGACCGUUGCUAGGGAUUUUACCUACAUUGACGAUAUAGUGAAGGGUUGCUUGGCUUCAUUGGAUACUGCAGAGGAGAGUACUGGGAGUGGUGGGAAGAAGAAGGGGCCCACACAAUUGAGAGUUUUCAAUUUGGGAAAUAUGUCUCCUGUGCCUGUUACUGAUCUUGUGGGCAUUUUGGAAAGGCUUUUGAAAAUGAAGGCCAAGAGGAAUAUUAAGAAGUUACCAAGGAAUGGGGAUGUUCCGUUCACACACGCCAAUAUUAGUUUGGCUCAGAGGGAACUUGGAUAUAAGCCCACCACAGAUCUGCAGACAGGGUUGAAGAAAUUUGUGCGAUGGUACCUCAGCUACUAUCAUGUUGGAGGGAAGAAGGCUGAUGCAUGAUGAUUUUAAUUCUUUCAGUUCUGUGGACGGGUACUCGAAAAAAUUUCUUGUUCAUUAUGAUUCUUGUGAUCGUUUUUUCUUGACAUUUCUAUGGUUGAACAUAGCACAAUUAUUUUCUUUCCAUCUAUGUUCAAUUGAUGCUGUAAGGAGGCAUACCACGUCCUAUGUUGAAGAAGAUUUUGUGAUUGGUGGAUAUUGUUCAAUGGGCAUUCCCAGACUUGUAUCAAAAGUAAAACAGAAUCUUCAGUUUAUUCUAUUUCUAUUUUUUGAAAUAUGUAACUGUUGUACUUUCAUUUCUAGAAUUCAUGACUGGUAGAGCAUUUGUUGAUUGUUUUUUGGCAUUGUGAAUUCAUGACUGGCAGAGCAUAUCUUAUGUUGAUUUUUGGACAUGUAUCAGUUUUAUGCAAUUUCAAUAAAACUGUACAUGAUGACGGUGAUUUUUCCAUUUUUUGUUCUCUCGUUCAGCG